GCAAAAGUCCACGUCUGCAAGAAGAAGUUUUCAAAAGACGGUGAUAGAGUGAGGUUAGCACCUGAGAAAAUCCCUAGACAAGACUGACAGACCUGCCAAAUGCAAGGCUCUCCAAACAAUACAGUUACACUGCCGUAACAACAGCACUCUGCUUCCCUUUCUGCAUCGUAAAUGUGCACUAAGCCUGACCUGGAAGAACCACUUCUUUGGAUGAGUGGAGACAGAAUAAGGAGGAAAUUCACUGUUAUCACCGUCAUCCUCCACUAUGAUAUAAGCACAUACGUGAGAGGAAGGUUUCCUGAAGAUGACUGAAUUCUCCAUUUACUUCAUUUCCACUGCAAGCUUGUUCCUGUCAAUAGGGAUGUUUGGCCUCUAGGUCUUAUAUAUCUUUGCUCAGGCAUCAUGCAUAGCAUAAGGUAAGGCGUAAGUACAAACUCAGUGGAUUCUACAUCAAAAUUUGGUCUUCACUUGAUCCGUUGCUUGAUAGACUAAUUAGAUCAAUAGUACUAUUCUGUGACCAUUGGCAUACUUUGCUGAAAAUAUCACCGAAAGGACACAUUUUUCUGCUUUUAUUCUAUGUUGUAAUUGUCUCAUUGGCAGUUUCAUGGUAGGAAGUUAGGUAUAAAUACAAGUAUUUUACAAUAGUGUUUCGGGAGCUGAAGUUGGCAAAUCCAUAUUCUUUGAUUCACUUAUUCCAAGGAUUCCGUGCCACUUAUACCAGUAACUGUCGGUUUAAAAUAAAACUCCAUGUAAUAGGGAUGUAGGAAACUCUCAACUUAUCCAAGCAUUGCAUGUUUAAAAUUCAAAUGUUCUAUGUUCCAGAUUGGAAAUAGUGGUCCGUACUUAAAAAAUAAAUGCCUAAAAUCAGAUUCCUGAACAUGUACAAAGACUACUUACAAAUGUGAAAUCACGUUAAUGUAAUGUAGGGAGCUAAUCUGAGGCUGCUCACUGUGAAAAUAAUAGACAUCGUUGCUCAUCUGGCUAAUAUGAGUUGUGGAAAGGAUUAAGAGCAAGUGCCAGAUGGCUUCCUAGCCAAGAACAUCAUUCAAGAUUCUGGAAACCCACCCAAACUGUCAAACGUAUUAAGGAAACAAGUUUUCCUCCGAGGCAAAAAUGAGUAAGACCUUCAAAAUUAUGAGAGGAUGAUGAUGUUAAUAACAACAAUAAUAAUACAUUUUGAUAAUAAUGAAGUAUUUUGAAGUAAUGUGAGGUUUUUAUGUAUAAAUGCAAAUUUCUACAGUUGAUUUAAUAAUUCAGCAGUUUUGUUGUCAACAGCAGAGACCAAAUUUGCACCUUCUCAAUGUAUUAUUCUCUUUUCCAACCAGCUCUCUCUAAAUAUUGGGUUUUGUGCUCCAAAUUAUCUUUGCAUAUGUGAGAUUUCAUCUUUCUAGCCUGUUUAUGACAACAAUGUAAUAAACUUGAACUGCU